AGUUUAGCCUACGAGAUAAAAGUCGUAAUAUUUUGAAUAAAUGUGACCGGAAUGAGACUACUUCCACUUUAAGAGGAUGGUUGAGAUAAUUGCACAGGUGUUUAGUCUCGCAACUCAGAGAAAAUCUCGUUUGAUCUCGUUCCCUCUGGUAUGUGUGCGCGUUGGAGGAGCUGCUGUGACUAAAUACGAUCCUGGUAAAAACUAUCGUUUGAUUUCGCUCCCUCUGGUAUGCGCGUGUUUUAAACGUUGCUGUGGGUAUUCCGCCUCUUCAAUUUUGUGGAGUUAUUGAUACGCAAAGCCCGUUCCAGAAUAGGUGUAACAAAUGAAUCGAUGGCUUAAUAGCACCUGAUAUCAUCAGUCAGGUUUACCCCUAUUGGACAAAAGAAAAACUUUUUUCCAAAGGAAGCAGCCAAGUUAACCUGGCUAUUUUAAAAGGAGGUAUGUAAUUUGGAUGUACGUGUUAAAUGCCCAUGUAUUAUGCAUUGCAUAUUGUAUGCGUUUUAAUAUAAAUGUAUUAAAUGUGUUAUUUUUAUAGGAGUAAUUGUGGCUGUCGGUUAGGCAACCACUGUUUCUUGUGUGCAUUUAUUUUCUGUUCACUUUUUAAUUUCUGAUAAAAUUGCAAUAAUCUUAUGCUCCUGCUUUAAUAAGCUUUGUCUGGGCAUAAAUCUCCCUCUACUCAGGGUUAAGCUGUGGGCCUGCGUAGGAAUUGAGUUCUACUGUACUGGGUGUCGUCUUUGUUUAUUCUUUUGGAUUUGAGGUGUGAUGUAAUUAUAUUUCCUAUGGGUUUAAGCUUGAUGUGAUUUAUCAUUUUAUUUUCCUUUAAUCGCGUGUAUUUUCUUUGCUAGAACUCAUUCCUUUAUGCCCCAAUUGGUGUUGUAAUAUUCUGAACCAGUAGAGGGGGUUGUCGACAGUCUCUGUAUGUAUGGAGCUUAUAUUUUGCUAUAGCUCUUUUGAAUAAAUUGUAAACUCCUUUUGUA